rnacentral:tRNA from 1 species
UCCGAUAUGGUGUAGUGGUUAACAUUAUCGCCUCUCACGCGAUAGCCCGGGGUUCGAUUCCCCGUGUCGGAA